rnacentral:rRNA from 1 species
AUUGAACGCUGGCGGCAUGCCUUACACAUGCAAGUCGAACGGCAGCGCGGGCUUCGGCCUGGCGGCGAGUGGCGAACGGGUGAGUAAUAUAUCGGAACGUACCCAAGAGUGGGGGAUAACGUAGCGAAAGUUACGCUAAUACCGCAUACGAUCUAAGGAUGAAAGCAGGGGAUCGCAAGACCUUGUGCUCCUGGAGCGGCCGAUAUCUGAUUAGCUAGUUGGUGGGGUAAAGGCCCACCAAGGCAACGAUCAGUAGCUGGUCUGAGAGGACGACCAGCCACACUGGAACUGAGACACGGUCCAGACUCCUACGGGAGGCAGCAGUAGGGAAUAUUGCACAAUGGAGGAAACUCUGAUGCAGCGACGCCGCGUGAGUGAUGAAGGCCUUCGGGUCGUAAAGCUCUGUCGUAUGGGACUAACAAAAUGAAGGUACCAUGCAAGAAAGGAAUCGGCUAACUUCGUGCCAGCAGCCGCGGUAAU